UAGAUUGAAGCCAGUUGACUAGGGUUUUUAGCUGUUAACUAAAGUUUCGUGGGAUAGAGGCCCACCGAUCUAG
rnacentral:tRNA from 9 species